rnacentral:misc_RNA from 1 species
UCUCUCUUUACGGGAUGGAGAAUUUCAGAUGGUCUCCUACAAAAUAAUAUGCAAAAUGUUGCCUUUAGUUAUGGAUUUUGGCCGUUGAACAUGGAUAUCAGGUCUUUUUCUUGAAGCCCAUGUACUAGAUCAGGACUUUCCCUUCUGCAUCUAUUUCGCAUUAAGUUAUUGGGGGGACGUUCGGGGCUGUACCUGUGGUCUUAGUACCGGGAUGGAUGAAUUGAUAAAUGUAUGUCUGUUCGCUAGAUUUGGGGAAUUGAUGUCUCUCUUGAUCUGAUAUCUCUUCAUUAACAAGUUGAUUAGACUAAAUUAUGCUCGGCACUGGACAAGGAUGAGCUUACUUAGUCUCACUGCGAGAAUGUGUUCCGAAAUAUGGGGAAUUUUUUCGGUGUAUUACUUAGAAAUUUGAGUUCAUUGUUUAUACUAGAAAGUUUAUAAGCUAGCUGUGGAUUUCAAGGGGGCUGAUAAAUUAGGGGCUGAUGGUUUUUGAAAGGAAGGUCAAUGGGUAACUAGUCAGAGUAAUGUAAAGUACCAACUGAAAAUAUGCUUGGAGAUUGAAGGUCGAACAUGUGAGAAAGUGUCUCCUGCGUUUCAAUGCCUUUUAACAGUUAUGAAUCCAGUUAAUAUCCUACAAAAUUGGGUUUUGAGCUCUGUACUGCAUAAUUAUGCUAAGAAAUAUUUCUAAUAUGUAAUUUUAUAGAAGUCAGCUAUCAUUUGCAAGCACUAAUUUUGCUUUUUAAUAGCUUAAAGAGACUUUAUUUGGUAAGGUCACUUGUUAGAUGAAUUCACCUGAUAUAGGUGCUUAUGGAUCUUAUCUAUUUGCCACAUCAUAUGCCACAAGAUUGACGAUGAUUCUUGGUUACUAUUUUUUUUCUUGGGUUUAAGUCCUUAUGAGGGUUGAAUAUGGUGAUCAUCUGCUUGAAAGCAAGUUGGUAUCAAAUAACAGUAACUCUUUUCCUUACUUGAGUGACAGAACUCAUGGUCUAUUUCAGAUCAG